rnacentral:rRNA from 1 species
UAUACAUGCAGUCGAACGCUCUCGACCUUCGGGUCACUGAGUGAGUGGCGAACGGGUGCGUAACACGUGAGAAACCUACCCCGAAGACGGGAAUAGCCCGAGGAAACUCGGAUUAAUACCCGAUAUCUUCACACUGUCGCAUGGCAGAGUGAAGAAAGUUCAGGCGCUUCGGGAGGGUCUCGCGGCCUAUCAGCUUGUUGGUGAGGUAACGGCUCACCAAGGCAUCGACGGGUAGCUGGUCUGAGAGGAUGAUCAGCCACACUGGGACUGAGACACGGCCCAGACUCCUACGGGAGGCAGCAGUAGGGAAUCUUGCGCAAUGGGCGAAAGCCUGACGCAGCAACGCCGCGUGGGGGAUGAAUGCCUUCGGGUUGUAAACCCCUUUCAGCAGGGACGAAAUUGACGGUACCUGCAGAAGAAGGUCCGGCCAACUACGUGCCAGCAGCCGCGGUAAUACGUAGGGGCCAAGCGUUGUCCGGAAUUAUUGGGCGUAAAGAGCUCGUAGGCGGUUCAGUAAGUCGGGUGUGAAAACUCAAGGCUCAACCUUGAGACGCCACUCGAUACUGCUGUGACUUGAGUCCGGUAGAGGAGUGUGGAAUUCCUGGUGUAGCGGUGAAAUGCGCAGAUAUCAGGAGGAACACCAGCGGCGAAGGCGGCACUCUGGGCCGGUACUGACGCUGAGGAGCGAAAGCAUGGGGAGCAAACAGGAUUAGAUACCCUGGUAGUCCAUGCCGUAAACGUUGGGCACUAGGUAUGGGACCAUAUCAACGGGUUCCGUGCCGUAGCUAACGCAUUAAGUGCCCCGCCU